rnacentral:rRNA from 1 species
AUACGGAGGAUGCAAGCGUUAUCCGGAUUUAUUGGGUUUAAAGGGUGCGUAGGCGGUUUGCUAAGCGGGAGGUGAAAUGCCGGCGCUCAACGUCGGAAGUGCCUCCCGAACUGGUGGACUGGAAUGACUCUGCCGUGGGAGGAAUGUGUAGUGUAGCGGUGAAAUGCGUAGAGAUUGGGAGGAACACCAGUGGCGAAGGCGACUUACUGGACUGUAACUGACGCUGAGGCGCGAAAGUGUGGGGAGCAAACAGGAUUAGAUACCCUGGUAGUCCACACUGUAAACGAUGAGUAUUAGGUGUCGGGGGUUACCCCCCUCGGUGCCGCAGUUAACGCAUUAAAUACUCCGCCUGGGGAGUACGCACGCAAGUGUGAAACUCAAAUGAAUUGGCGGGG